GCUAAGGUAGCAUAAUCAUUUGUUAUUUAAUUGGUAACUGGAAUGAAAGGUUAAACUAGCUUAUUAAGUUUGUGGGGCUAAAUAGGAGCUUAAAGUUAAGGUAAGAAUGCUUUAAUUUUUUAGGGGACGAUAAGACCCUAGAAGCUUAACGAGAGGUUGUUUUGUUUUAUAAAUUUGUUCGUUUUACUGGGGCGGUAAAAAUAAUUAAGCUAUUUGUUAUUUAAAGGAUCCUUAAAAUAAAGAAAAAAUGGAGAAGUUACUCUAGGGAUAA
rnacentral:rRNA from 1 species